AUUAGUUCUGGAACGUGAAUCAAGCAAUGAAUCAUCAAAGAAAUCAUUUGGCUAAGGUAAAAGGUCAAGAGACAAAGAUGGUCCCUUACAGAAUAGGCUCAGUAACAGGGGAUAUCUCAAAAAAUGAUUAAGCUUUAGUAGAAUGCUAAAGGUAAGUCCCAAGCUAUGCAUACAGAGAUAAGAUCUCAUCUACCCAGAGUACAUCAAAUGAAGCUCUAAUGGUAAUCCCAUCUCUAAUCCCAAUACAAGAACUAAACGCUACCCUUUGCAUUGAUGAAUCUUUUAAGCCCUUUUUCUAAUCAUUCUUUUCUUUUCUCUUAACUCUAGGAGAAGCUUUCUCAACACUUUGAUAUAUCUAGCGGAUUUGGAUUUCUUUAACAACUAAGGUUCCUGUUUUUAACAUUUUAAAACCAAGGGAUUUU
rnacentral:sRNA from 1 species